rnacentral:rRNA from 1 species
GAUGAACGCUGGCGGCGUGCCUAAUACAUGCAAGUCGAGCGGACAGACGAGGAUCUUUCUCCUUUUACGUUAGCGGCGGACGAGUGAGUCACACGUAUGUGACCUGUCUAUGAGACUGAGAUCACUUCAGGGAACCGGAUCUCGUACCGGAUAAUAUUUCGAACGGCGUGGUUCUAUAGUCAAAGCUCGCUUUGCUGUCCCUUGUACGUAGACCUAGGCCGGAUUAGCUAGUUGGUAAGGUAACGGCUUACCAAGGCAACGAUACGUAGCCGACCUGAGAGGGUGAUCGGCCACACUGGAACUGAGACACGGUCCAGACUCCUACGGGAGGCAGCAGUAGGGAAUAUUCCGCAAUGGGCGAAAGCCUGACGGAGCAACGCCGCGUGAGUGAUGAAGGUCUUCGGAUCGUAAAACUCUGUUAGUAGGGAAGAACAAAAGUGUAAGAAACUCUCGACGUCUUGACGGUACCUACUGAGAAAGCCCCGGCUAACUACGUG